AGUUGGUUUCUGGUUGCGGGCCCCGGUCCGCCCCUCACGGGUGGGUGCCAGGGGCUGCGUCCAUCCUCGGGGAGAGCGCGUCUGGCAUUAACUUGUCGGGCGCGGGACCCUCGUCAUUUACUGUGAGCAAAAUAGAGUGUUCAAAGCAGGCUUAGGCCGUUGAAUACAUUAGCAUGGAAUAAUAAGAUAGGACCUUGGUCUAUUUUGUUGGUUUGCACUCCAAGGUAAUGAUUAAUAGGGAUAGUUGGGGGUAUUCGUAUUCAAUUGUCAGAGGUGAAAUUCUUGGAUUUAUGGAAGACGAACUACUGCGAAAGCUUUUACCAAGGAUGUUUUUCAUUAAUCAAGAACGAAAGUAAGGGGAUCGAAGAUGAUUAGAUACCAUCGUAGUCUUUACCAUAAACUAUGCCGACUAGGGAUUGGUGGACGUUUGUAACGACUCCCAUCAGCACCUUAUGAGAAAUCAAAGUCUUUGGGUUCCGGGGGGAGUAUGGGCGCAAGGCUUGAAACUUAAAGAAAUUGACGGAAGGGCACCACCAGGAGUGGAGCCUGCGGUUAAUUUGACUCAACACGGGGAAACUUACCAGGUCCAGACAUAGGGAGGAUUGGACAGAUUGAGAGCUC
rnacentral:rRNA from 1 species